rnacentral:lncRNA from 1 species
UUGAGAGGUUAAGUGUGGAUGGAGAAGAAGGAGCUUAGGAGGAAUGGAUAGGUUUGGGUAAGGUGUCCGUACAAGGCAAGGCCGUACAAGGCCGUACCACUUGGCCGUACACACUUACCUCAGCUGCGGUUAAGUCAAGAGUUACUUGGGUGACUUACCAUGAUAAGAAGAAGCACUGAUCACUCACCUGAAGGAUCAGACCGUUACCAAAGGAAGAAGGAGCGUGUGACAGCCUGUCUUGAGCUGGAAAGAAGAAGGCAUAAAGCAAAGAUACCUCACACACGCGGUCACUCUCAUUGGAUAGUUCAAAUGCAUUCUUAUCUUAUCCAUUGACUCCACAUGCUUUCUCUCUUGGAGCCUUAUCCAUCCAGGCCGUGGACAGGCUGUAAAGGCCAAGCGUGUGAGCCUUACCAUCCGUUCAUUCAAAAGGGACGCUCCUCUUGGUCUUGACUUCACAUGCUUAUGACUAGUGCUGCUUUCUCUUAACUUGUAACCCUAAUGCCUCUUCUAUAAAUAUUGUAACCUCAUCUCAUAAUAAGAUCAGACAGUUCUAAACAAUCUCUCUCUAUACUCAUUUCAUUAUGAUUCUCCAUUAGUCUCUAAUCUGUCUCUUAAUCUCUUAUUCUCUUCUAUAAUCCUUUCUAAACUCAGAUAAUCAUUUACAUCCUUAAAUCUUAUAGUUUGGAGAUGAUAUAAGUGAUGCUUGCUGUCCCCUCUGCCAAUAACUCUUCCAGUCUUCAAAUCUUGAAACUCAACUUCAUUUGGCCUGAAUACUACUUGACAAUCCAGAUCAAUUGUAGCUUUCUUAACUGAUAUCAGAUUUGAAGUGAACUGAGGCAGAUAUAAGGCGGUUGAGCUCUUUUCAAACAGCUUGAGGUUUCCCAUUCCUUCUACUGGGAUCUGAGCGCCAUUAGCUAUAGUAACACACCCUGUUGCAGCCCUGACAUCACUUAUCAGACUCCUAUCACUGAUCAUAUGAUGUGUUGCUCCAGAAUCAAUUAUGAUAGGUUUAGGAGCUGUGGAGAAAUCGCUUUGCUUCUCACUUGCAGCUAGAGCACCUUGCUUCUUUCUUGCAGCCAGUUCAUACACACACUUAACAAACUCAUCCCAUUCUUUCUUUGUGAUUGGAUCCUCUCCUCCUUUGGUCUCCUGCCUCCUUGUACUUACACCAUCUUCUACUGAUUCUCCCAAGUAAGCUGAGUAUGAACACUCUCCUAUAACCAUCUGCUGAAGUAUAUCCUUGAUUCUCUUCAAGAUCACACUCAUCCUGUCACUUAAGUGCUCAGACUCGCUACCCUUUCUCCAUGCCCUUCUCUUCAUUAACCACUCCUUAGAAAGUUUUCUCAACCUUCCCUUCUUACAGCUUGUACCUCCCUUCCAUCUUUCUGGUUUCCUGUUCAUCUCACACACAUCACAAGUGUGUUUAACAAGCUCACAUACCUCUUCCAUAAGAAAGCUAAAGAUCACAUCUUGCUUCCUCCUUUCUUGACAACAUCUCGGAUUUGAUGUGUGUGCCUUCACCACAUCUAACUCUGACCAUACUUCUCUCAGCCUUCCCACAAGCUGAUAACACUCAUCCUUUCCUUGUCUCAAGCCGCGGAUCACCCAUUUGUCCUCAACGACUCUUACAAGCUUGGACUUGCCUAAAGUUGCUUCAAUCUCACUCUUUGUAGUGUCUCCUUGAACAACUUCAUUUCCCAGCUUCAGACCUCUUGUCUGACCUUCUUCAGUAGCCAUUUCCAUGAAAGGUUUCCCCUUUCCAUGACUACUCCAUAACCCACAGCUUUCCAAAGCUCCCUUUAUCCAUCUUGAACACACUCCAUCAAUCUCUUCUUCACGCGCCACUGGUUUACUAGAUCUGUGCUUCAUCUCCUGUUGAGGUUGAUUGAAUCGACCAGACAACCUCUCAAAUAUCCAGAAACUGAAGAACAGCUCAAGAACAGCUCAAGAACACACAAACAGAUUCUCGCAAAUCACCACUCCCUUCCUUGCCAACCUGGCUCUGAUACCAUGAACACUUUUGUGUAUGUAGAGUGAUGAAUAAAUAUCAAGAGAUGAUUAGUGUAGUUUGUAUGAGGUUUGGAGAUUAAGAGAGACUAAGAGAAUAAAGAACAAAAGAGAAUACUCAAAACUCCAUUAGAUUGAUUAAUGAGAGAGUUUAAUGUAGUUUGUAUGAGGUUUGGAGAUUAAGAGAGACUAAGAGAAUAAAGAACAAGAGAGAAUACUCAAAAUUCCAUUAGAUUGAUUAAUGAGAGAGUUUACAACAUAUAUAGACUAGGGAUACAUCAAUUCGUCCAGGUUCAGUCUAGUUAGGAUAAGAAGCAUGUGUAGUCAAAGAUGCUUGAUUCAAACUAGCCAAUAAGGUUCCUCACAUGCUUGGGUAUCUUGCUUUAGCCUUCCAGCUGGUGCCAGCCUGUCUAAAGCUCUCUUCCCUUGACCAGACCUUAUCCAAACUCCUCCUUGCUUAUCCAGACUCCUCCUGGCGUGUUUCACUCUCCAAAUGGAUGCAAGGUAACUUCCCACGUCUUUUACCUCAGUUACCACAGUAACAAUAAAGUUACUGUGGUAAAUCUUCAAAGUUACUGCCUUCUCCAAAUCCCUUCCCCUAUCCAUGUAUCAACUCUUCAUCUCCUCAUCUCAACACUUCUCAACACUCCCCCUCAAGCUUGACCAUGUGAAACAAGUCAAGCUUGGAAACCAUGAAGACCUCCCUCAUUAAAAACCUCACCAAAGAAAACCCAUUGGGAUAAAACUUUGAUGAGGGAAAAAGAGUGGAGACUCCAUGGUUAAGGGGCUCAGCUCCUGGGAGUAAGAUCAAUGAGUCCAAGCCUGGAUAGUAUGGACUCCAUUGUCUUCAAUCUCGCUGCCUUAGUAAACACAUCAGCCAGUUGAUCCUCACUCCUUGUAUAACAUGGCAGAAUCACUCCUAAGAUAAUCAUCUGCCUCACCUUGUGACAAUCCACUUCUAUGUGCUUCGUUCUCUCAUGAAAAACUGAGUUAGAAGCAAUAUGGAUAGCUGCUUGAUUGUCACAGUGCAUUGUCAUAGGAGUACUCUGUUCAAUCUCCAGAUGCUUCAAGAUACCCUUGAUCCACACCAGCUCGUUUGUCAACUUCAACAUAGCCCUAUAUUCAGCCUCAGCACUUGAACAAGAGAUGACCUUCUGCUUCUUACUCUUCCAAGUAACCAGGUUCCCUCCAAUGAAUGUACAAUAGCCAGUAGUUGAUCUCCUGUCCACUCUAUCUCCUGCCCAAUCAGCAUCACAAUAGCCCACUACUUCUGUGCUGCCAUUGCAUCCCAUCCAAACUCCUUGACCAGGCGUGCCACUUAAAUACCUCAAUAUCCUAUCAACCAUCUUCCAGUGAUGUACCUUUGGCGCCUGCAUAUGCUGACUCACUUGGUUCACAGCAAAACAUAUAUCUGGCCGUGUGAUGGUCAAGUAGAUCAGUUUGCCAACCAUCUUCCUGUACAGCUUAGGAUCCUCAAACAACUGCUUCUCUUCAACCUCCCCCUCACGCAAAACCUUUUACCCCUCCUCAAGAGGUGUCUUUGCUACCUUUCCUCCAAGUACAUCAGUCUCCUUCAGCAUAUCCAUUGUAUACUUCCUUUGAGACAUAAACAAACCCUCCUUGGAUCUGCAUAUCUCAAUCCCCAAGAAAUACUUCAUCUCUCCCAAGUCUUUGAUGUCAAACACAGACUUGAGGAACUCUUUAGUGGCUUUAAUCCCAGCCUUAUCACUCCCUGUGAUAAUCAAAUCAUCCACAUAUACCAGUAUCACAAUGAUCCCUGAUGGAGUAACCAAAGUGAAGAGUGUGUGAUCCAGUUCAGACUUCCUGAAUCCUCUCCCAUUCAGAGUUGUACUCAGCUUCCUGUACCAAGCUCUAGGAGACUGCUUCAGCCCAUAUAUUGCCUUCUUCAAUCUCAAAACAUUUCCUGGUUUUACUAGAUGCUCAAGACCAGGAGGAGGAAGCAUGUAUACCUCAUCCUCUAGCUCACCUUGUAAGAAAGCAUUCUUCACAUCCAUCUGCCACAAAUCCCACUCCAAGUUUGCUGCAAUGGACAACACAAUCCGAACUGUAUGUAGCUUAGCUACUGGUGCAAAGGUAUCAAUGUAAUCCUCUCCAUAGGUCUGUGUAAAUCCUCUUGCAACCAAUCUGGUCUUCUUCCUAUCAAUCUGUCCAUCAGCUAGAUACUUGAUUGUGAAGAUCCAUCUACUAGAUACAGCCCUUUUUCCCUUAGGCAGCUCACUCUCAUACCAUGUAUCAUUUUUGAUCAUUGCACCUGCUUCAGUUCCCACUGAUUCUUUCCAUUCCUUGUCUAACAUAGCUUCUUCAUAAGUCCUUGGUACAUAACUCUCAUCCAGACUAAUCAUAAAGGCAUGAUGCUCCUCUGGAAACUCAGCAAAGUCCAGACUAAUCAUAAAGGCAUAUAGCUUCUUCAUAAGUCCUUGGUACAUAACUCUCAUCCAGACUAAUCAUAAAGGCAUGAUGCUCCUCUGGAAACUCAGCAAAGGAACACACGGCUUGAGAAGGAUGCUCCAUAGCCUGGGCAUUGUAGUACACUCUCGUGUUUACCCAGUUGGAAGGAUCCCUCUUUAUCCUUGUGCUCCUCCGCAAGGUCUCAACAUGUUCUUCAGCCUGAAUAUUAUCUUGUGUUUCCUCUCCUAAACCAGUAGGUUCUCCCGGCUCAUUUCCACCUGACUGAUCCUCACUCUCCUCUGUACCAGUAGACUGAACAACAUUCUCUACUUCCUGUGUCUCCUCAUGAUCAUGCUGUCCUGAAUCCUCUUGGUUUUGCUCCUGCUCCUCUGAUUCAGGUCCAUUCCCCCUCUCAUGAUCAAGAGGGGUUGUUUCUCCAGCUUGAUUAGAAGGUUCUCUCCUUCCUGGUUCCUGAUCUUGGGAUAAUCCUAUCCCUAGCCUCUCCAACAACACUCUCAGUGUUGUUGCCGUCUCUGAUGGAGCUCGGGACAGAUCCUCUAGGUCUUCCCAUUUCUUCUCCUCAUAAUAUCCUCUAGACUCCACAAACUUCACUUCUCUGGAUACCAAAACCCUCCUGGUUAUUGGAUCAUAACAUUUGUACCCUUUCUGAGUGAUUGAGUACCCAAUGAACAUAGCUUUAGUACUCUUUGCUUCUAGCUUGUUCCUCCUCUCUCCGGGAACCAUCACAUAACAUAAACACCCAAAGACUCUCAAAUGAUCAAGGUGUGGUUUAGUCUUGUUCAAUACCUCAAAGGGAGACAGAUUCUUUAGGAUCUUGGUCGGAACUCUGUUGAUGAGAUAGCACGCAGUCUGAACAGCAUCCCCCCAAAACCUCUUUGGAACAUUUGCAUGAAACAUCAUUGACCUUGCUACCUCCAUCAAGUGCCUAUUCUUUCUCUCAGCCACCCCAUUCUGCUGUGGUGUGUAAGGACAGCUUGUCUGCUGCACAAUCCCAUGCUUUGCUAGAUAACUCUUGAAAGCAUUGCUAGUGUAUUCUCCUCCAUUAUCAGAUCUUAGCACCUUCACAGUAGCAUUGUAUUGAUUAGUUACAUAUGCUUGGAAGUUCAUGAAGGCUUCUAGGACUCUAUCUUUAGAGGGAAUCAAAGUGACCCAUGUAUACUUUGAUUUCUCAUCAAUAAAAGUGACAAAGUACUUCUGGCUAUCCCUAGACUCACACGGAGAUGUCCACACAUCUGAGUGAACUAGAUCAAAGCAAUGCUCAUAUAUAGUCUCUGAUGCUGGAAAGACAGUCCUACAAUGCUUUCCUAAUAUGCAUGCUUCACACUCCAAGUGAUUAAAUGACAUAUUAGGCAUGAUCAACUCAAUUGCACGAGCAUGAGGAUGUCCUAAUCUAGCAUGCCAAGUCAUACUAUCACACCUAUCAGCAGCACUACUCAGGCACAUAGAGUUAAUGGGAUUAAGAGUCUUAGCUGUUUGUGUUGAGAUGAGAAGUCUUGAGAGGUUAAGUGUGGAUGGAGAAGAAGGAGCUUAGGAGGAAUGGAUAGGUUUGGGUAAGGUGUCCGUACAAGGCAAGGCCGUACAAGGCCGUACCACUUGGCCGUACACACUUACCUCAGCUGCGGUUAAGUCAAGAGUUACUUGGGUGACUUACCAUGAUAAGAAGAAGCACUGAUCACUCACCUGAAGGAUCAGACCGUUACCAAAGGAAGAAGGAGCGUGUGACAGCCUGUCUUGAGCUGGAAAGAAGAAGGCAUAAAGCAAAGAUACCUCACACACGCGGUCACUCUCAUUGGAUAGUUCAAAUGCAUUCUUAUCUUAUCCAUUGACUCCACAUGCUUUCUCUCUUGUGUAUUCGAAACCCUAGAGCCUCUCUCACACUAUAUAAUGUAUCCUUAUCUCAUUAAUGAAAGUUAGACAGUUCUAAACAAUCUCUCUCUAUACUCAUUUCAUUA